rnacentral:misc_RNA from 1 species
AGCAGCCGCGGUAAUUCCAGCUCCAAUAGCGUAUAUUAAAGUUGUUGCAGUUAAAAAGCUCGUAGUUGAAUUUCGGGGUUAGUAGGUUGGUCAUGCCUCUGGUAUGUACUGGUCUCACUGAUUCCUCCUUCCUGAUGAACCUUAAUGCCAUUAAUUUGGUGUUUUGGGGAAUUUGGACUGUUACUUUGAAAAAAUUAGAGUGUUUAAAGCAAGCUAACGCUUGAAUACAUUAGCAUGGAAUAAUGAAAUAGGACGUUCAAUCCUAUUUUGUUGGUUUCUAGGAUUGACGUAAUGAUUAAUAGGGAUAGUUGGGGGCAUUAGUAUUCAAUUGUCAGAGGUGAAAUUCUUGGAUUUAUUGAAGACUAACUACUGCGAAAGCAUUUGCCAAGGAUGUUUUCAUUAAUCAAGAACGAAAGUUAGGGGAUCGAAGACGAUCAGAUACCGUCGUAGUCUUAACCAUAAACUAUGCCGACUAGGGAUCGGAUGAUGUUAAUUUUUUAAUGACUCAUUCGGCGCCUUA